UCCAGAAUCUAAGCUGUCAGUGUGGAGGUUGGUGUGGGGCUUGAACCCAUGGACCGUGAGAUCAUGACCUGAGCUGAAGUUGGGUGCUCAACCAACUGAACCACCCAGAGAACGGUGCAAGCUGUAGCUGCUGAUAGAACCCAGCUUUACUCAAGCAUGAAGAAUCAUUCAAACGCAGACUGAACAAAAGAAGUUGGAGAGGAGGCACUUCUUUUUCAUCAAAUUUUGAUUAAAAGGGUAAGAAUAACUUGA